rfam:Thiomonas delicata strain DSM 16361 genome assembly, scaffold: BBA-D_THIARS_scaffold4
AACGGCUUGUCGGAGUGCCGGGUGGUCGAUGCGUCGCGUCACCGGCUGAGAUCGCAGCGCUGCGAAAUCCGCUGAACCUGAUCGGGGUCAUGCCCGCGUAGGAAACCAAGACGCCGGGCUGU